GACGGAGGGUGCUAGCGUUGUUCGGAAUCACUGGGCGUAAAGGGCGCGUAGGCGGCCAGGCAAGUCGGCUUGUGAAAACUCGAGGCUCAACCUCGAGACGUCGACGGAAACCGUCUGGCUAGAGUCCGGAAGAGGAGUGUGGAAUUCCUGGUGUAGCGGUGAAAUGCGCAGAUAUCAGGAAGAACACCUAUGGCGAAGGCAGCACUCUGGGACGGUACUGACGCUGAGACGCGAAAGCGUGGGGAGCGAACAGG
rnacentral:rRNA from 1 species